UGGAAGACCAGACUCUCAGGUGCUAGGCAAUGUAAACUGAGGUCCUGACGACUGUAUGGCAAGCACUUCACCAACUAAGCUAUGGCCCUGGCCCAGCACGAAAGUAAGCCUACAUCGUUUCCCUUGGGAAAACACACUGCUCUUACUGUUUACUGACAGAACACAGAUCAGGACCAGCAACCACCAAAUACAUACAGCUUUCAAUCUCUUUACGGCAUCUUCACAGAUGUGCAUUCCUCUUGACUCAUCAACUUCUACGUGGCCGAGAGAACCACAAAGAUAUGUGUUAUAGUCUCCCCUCCCCCAGCCUGAAACCUGCUUGCUCAGGGGUGGAGCUUCCCGCUCAAUCUUUCUGCCACGCCUACUGCUGGAACCUGCCGCUUUGCUGUUCUGAAGGCAUCACGUGAUCACCCUGCUACUGGAUUAUUUGGCGGGAAUUGGGCCCCUCCCCCUUCCUUUAUAACUGAGUGCCGAAAUAGUAAAAAUUGAACCUUGAGCAGA
rnacentral:lncRNA from 1 species